GUCUGUGUUUCCGCUGCGGCCAGCCAGGC
rnacentral:sRNA from 1 species